UCUGGUGUCACUUCCAAAAGGGGCCACACCCGUUCCCAUCCCGAACACGGCCGUUAAGCCUUUUUGGGCCGAUGGUAGUCCGAUAGGGCGAGAGUAGGUGGACGCCAGAA
rfam:Parcubacteria (Thrbacteria) bacterium GW2011_GWF2_41_16 TT48_C0022, whole genome shotgun sequence.